CAGUGUUUAUCUGUUGCAUAUUUGUUGUUUACCUGUUUAUCUCUGUGUCUUCACUUCACAUUUCCAGACUGCAGACAUUUAGAGCACAACCUCCAGAGCCCAGCUGUGUGUCUAUGAACAGCACUUACUUGAUGAAUCAGCCUCUUUAUUUCAGUAAUGGAAGAAGCAGCUCUGACCUGAGACUGCAGGCAUUCAGAGGAGAAUCUCCAGAGCCCAGCUGUGUGUCUAUGAUUAGCUAUCAUUCCAUGGAGCAGCCUCUUUAUUUCAGUAAUGAAAGAAGCAGCACUGAUCUGAGACUGCAGACAUUCAGAGCAGAACCUCCAGAGCCCAGCUGUGUGUCUUUGAGGAGCAACCACUCGAUGCAGCAGCCUUACAAUUUCAGUAAUGACAAACUUACCACUGAGCUGAGACUGCAGACAUUCAGAGCAGAACCUCCAGAGCCCAGCUGUGUGUCUUUGAGGAGCAACCACUCGAUGCAGCAGCCUUACAAUUUCAGUAAUGAUAAAUUUACCACUGAGCUGAGACUGCAGACAUUCAGAGCAGAACCUCCAGAGCCCAGCUUUGUGUCUAUGAGGAGCAACCACUCGAUGCAGCAGCCUUACAAUUUCAGUAACAAAAAGCUGAGACUGCAGACAUCCGGAGCAGAACCUCCAGAGCCCAGCUGUGUGUCUAUGAGGAGCAACCAUUCGAUGCAGCAGCCUUACAACUUCAGUAACAUCAAAUGUACCACUGAGCUGAGACAGACAUUAAGAGUAGAACCUCCAGAACCCAGCUGUGUGUCUAUGAGGAGCAACCACUCGAUGCAGCAGCCUUUUAAUUUCAGUAACGAAAGAAGCAGCACUGAGCCGAGAGCAGAACCUCCAGAGCCCAGCUGUGUGUCUUUGAGGAGCAACCACUCGAUGCAGCAGCCUUACAAUUUCAGUAACAACAAAUGUAUCACUGAGCUGAGGUGAGAAACCAGCAUGGGAUGAGAGUGAGUUUAAACAGGGUGUUUUUUGUAGUAAGUCUGUUUUUUUCUUUUUUUUGGUCAUCUCCAAUGAAAAGUACUUUUUAACACUACAUUUUUUCUACCUUCCAGUAAAAAAAAAUCAGGCUGCACAGAAUAUUGUUUAAGCAUUGUCAUCACACAGCAUUCAUGUGAAAUAAUCUUUACAGUACAUUGCAGUAUGUGUGACGCCACGUGAAGCAAAUAAAUAAAAAAUGUUACUCA
rnacentral:lncRNA from 1 species